rnacentral:rRNA from 1 species
UGAAUACGAGACGCUAAGGCGUCGAAGUAGUGUAUGUCAUACUUCCAAGAAAAGCUUGCACUGUCAUAAGUAAAAAAUGCCUGUACCAUAACCGACACAGGUGGGUAGGUAGAGUAUACUAAGGGGCGCGAGAUAACUCUCUCUAAGGAACUCGGCAAAAUAACUCCGUAACUUCGGGAGAAGGAGUACCUUAUUCUAUAAGGUUGCAAUAACAAGAUCCAAGCAACUGUUUAUCAAAAACACAGGUCUCCGCUAAGUCGUAAGACGAUGUAUGGGGGCUGACGCCUGCCCAGUGCCAGAAGGUUAAAGAAGUCGGUUAGCAUUAGCGAAGCUGGUAACUGAAGCCCUGGUGAACGGCGGCCGUAACAAUAACGGUCCUAAGGUAGCGAAAUUCCUUGUCGGGUAAGUUCCGACCCGCACGAAAGGCGUAAUGAUUUGGAUACUGUCUCGGAGAGGGGCUCGGUGAAAUAGACUUGUCUGUGAAGAUGCGGACUACCUGCACCAGGACAGAAAGACCCUAUGAAGCUUUACUGUAACUUGAAAUUGAAAUUGGACUUUAUUCGCGCAGUAUAGGUGGGAGGUGUUGAUUAUAAUCUUGCGGGAUUAUUGGAGCCAUCAGUGAGAUACCACUCUUGUAAUGUUAGAUUUCUAACUUUGAAUCAUUAUCUGGUCAAAGGACAGUUUCAGGCGGGCAGUUUGACUGGGGCGGUCGCCUCCCAAACGGUAACGGAGGCGUACAAAGGUUUCCUCUGAACGGGUAGAAAUCGUAUCUAGAGUGUAAAGGCAUAAGGAAGCUUGACUGUGAGACCUACAAGUCGAACAGGGACGAAAGUCGGUCUUAGUGAUCUGACGGUACUGAGUGGAAAGGCCGUCACUCAACGGAUAAAAGUUACUCUAGGAUAACAGGCUGAUCUCCCCCAAGAGUUCACAUCGACGGGGAGGUUUGGCACCUCGAUGUCGGCUCAUCGCAUCCUGGGGCGGUAGUACGUCCCAAGGGUUGGGCUGUUCGCCCAUAAAAGCGGUACGCGAGCUGGGUUCAGAACGUCGUGAGACAGUUCGGUCCAUAUCCGGUGUAGGCGUUAGAAUAUUGAGAGGAGCCUUCUUUAGUACGAGAGGACCGAGAAGGACAUACCUCUGGUGUACCAGUUAUCGUGCCAACGGUAAACGCUGGGUAGCUAUGUAUGGAGUGGAUAACCGCUGAAAGCAUCUAAGUGGGAAGCCCACCUCAAGAUAAGUAUUCUCAUCA